rnacentral:rRNA from 1 species
AGACUUUGAUUAUGGCUCAGAACGAACGCUGGCGGCAGGCCUAACACAUGCAAGUCGGACGAGAAGGUUCCUUCGGGAACUGGAGAGUGGCGCACGGGUGAGUAACGCGUGGGGACCUACCUCUUAGUGGGGGAUAACGGUUGGAAACGACCGCUAAUACCGCAUACGCCCUUCAGGGGAAAGAUUUAUCGCUAAGAGAUGGACCCGCGUUGGAUUAGAUAGUUGGUGAGGUAACGGCUCACCAAGUCAGCGAUCCAUAGCUGGUUUGAGAGGAUGAUCAGCCACACUGGGACUGAGACACGGCCCAGACUCCUACGGGAGGCAGCAGUGGGGAAUAUUGGACAAUGGGGGCAACCCUGAUCCAGCCAUGCCGCGUGAGUGAAGAAGGCCUUCGGGUUGUAAAGCUCUUUCAGAUGCGAAGAUGAUGACGGUAACAUCAGAAGAAGCC